rnacentral:lncRNA from 1 species
AGAGUUUCCUCCAAAACUCUCCGAAUUCCAAUGAGGGAUAUGGAAUUUGCCAAAAAUAGUGGGUGGUGCUAUUUGAUUUAAAGACCCGAAUCAAUGGCUUAAAAUCAAUCAAUUUAUAUUCGUUAUGUAUUUGUUUACCAAAUAUUUUGCAAACGCUAUCCAACACUUGACAAAUAAAAGCCGAAAGCUUUAGUUUCCGGACUUAGUACUACAAAACCAUAGAUUGUCUUUAAUGGCUUGUAAAUGUACCUAAGUAGUCUCAUCCUCACAAUCUUCCUAUUGAUAAUGUAUCAUUAGAAGAAUAUGUUAGAAAGGUCUAUCAUAAAGAGGACAACACUUUUAAUGUCAUAAUUCUUCAAUUACAAAUUUUGUAUGAAGAAAUAAGAGUUGCUUUGAACAACCCUUAAUCAAUACAAACAUUAGUGCUUGUUUCUUUGUUACAUGAACAAGGAACUUUAGAAGAAAGCACAAGGGCAUGAACACUUUAUGUGCCAUAAUUCUUCACUUACAAAUUGUUGUAUGAAGAAAUGAGAGUUGCCUUGAACAACUCUUGAAAGUUUGUAAUUAUGUUUAGAACAUAAUGAUUGGUUGACAAAAAAUAGUCCAUCAAACGUGGACUUUCUGAUGAUUUUGAAUCAUUGAGGUUUGAAGUGAUAAACCACUUAACGAGACGGAAACUAGGCAAGGACUUUACCUAUAUGUCCCUAUCCUAAUGGUUCACUACGUUUAUUGUAAACUAUGUAGUGAACAAUAACCACAUGCUCUCCAAAAUGUUUGAUGUGUAUAACACAAUUGAAAUAAGUUUCAAGAGAGAUAGUGGGAGUUUAGGGACCAUGACUAAAUGUAGUCAAAGGUGGAAGUCAAAUGAAGAAGAUAAAAAUAACUCCAAGGGAACAAACUUUCUUUAUGAAAGGAUGGACAUUGGAAGGGGUAUUUGCAAGAAAUGUCUUGCAAGUGUCAAGAACACACCUUUCGAAGGUGUUGUAAAUUGUUCUUGAAUAGUUCAAAAUAGUUGGUUCUUCUACUUGAAUGUUUGAUUCCGUAUUAGUAACUAUGUUUUACAAUCGUUGUAAAAGUGUGACUAAUAAGAAGUAGAAGAUAUAUGAGAGAAGAAAAAGGUGCUUCACAUUCGGAACGUGAAUAAAAUAGAGAUCUCUGCGAAAGCAGAUAGUACUUAUUUCCUCAUAUGAACUACCAAAGAAAUUGGAAAAACCAAAGGUUGUCUUUACAUUCCAAUUUUAAGGAAUUUAAUUCCGUCACUAUAGUAGAGAUGGAUGAAUGUUUUGUUUUGACAAAACAUUGUUCUUUAUUAAUCAAUGAUUGGAUUAUAGUAAUCUAAUUGAUUGUCUCUAUGGUAGAGAUGAUAUGGUAGUGUUAACUGUUUUGAAUAUAAUGAUGCUUAAAAACCCAAAAGGUUGUAAGGUAGUGACUAAUCCCAAUUAAGUUGUGAUUCCUCUAAAAACAUAAGUGAUGAGUUGGUGAAAGAUGGAUACUUUGGAUCGUUAGAUCCGGAUCCAAUACCUUCUUAUUAAAAUUGUAUAGAGGCGAAAUGUUCGAAUCUUUAUUCUUUUGGAAAGAAGAAAGAAUCACAAAGUUGUUGAGGUUAAUUCACUGAGAUGUUAGUGGCACUUGUCCACAACAUAUUACUACUCAUGUUGUAUGACAUUCACCGAAGAUCACUCUCGGUUGACUAUAGUUUAUUUUGAAUAAACACAAGUCCGAAUACUUUGCAAAAGGUUUCAAAGAAUUCAAGAAAUGUAAGUUGAUGAGUAAGACGUCUAAAGUAUUUACCUCCUUAGAUUUGAUCCAAGGAAUAGUAACACUUUAGAUGAGUUUCCUUGAAAAGAUAUCAAGAAAAGAGCAUCAUAAGAUAAUGAAAUUUCUCCAUUAGGAGAAUAACGAACUUGAAUAAGAUUUAGUUCGUUAGAUGUUAUCUAUUACCCAUAUA